rnacentral:rRNA from 1 species
AUGGGCGAAGCCUGAUCCAGCCAUGCCGCGUGAGUGAUGAAGGCCUUCGGGUUGUAAAGCUCUUUCGCCUGGGAAGAUGAUGACGGUACCAGGAGAAUAAGCCCCGGCUAACUUCUUG